UGGGGAAUAUUGCACAAUGGGGGAAACCCUGAUGCAGCGACGCCGCGUGAAGGAAGAAGUAUCUCGGUAUGUAAACUUCUAUCAGCAGGGAAGAUAGUGACGGUACCUGACUAAGAAGCCCCGGCUAACUACGUGCCAGCAGCCGCGGUAAUACGUAGGGGGCAAGCGUUAUCCGGAUUUACUGGGUGUAAAGGGAGCGUAGACGGUGUGGCAAGUCUGAUGUGAAAGGCAUGGGCUCAACCUGUGGACUGCAUUGGAAACUGUCAUACUUGAGUGCCGGAGGGGUAAGCGGAAUUCCUAGUGUAGCGGUGAAAUGCGUAGAUAUUAGGAGGAACACCAGUGGCGAAGGCGGCUUACUGGACGGUAACUGACGUUGAGGCUCGAAAGCGUGGGGAGCAAACAG
rnacentral:rRNA from 1 species